rnacentral:rRNA from 1 species
AGCCAUCAUUUAAAAGAAAGCGUAAUAGCUCACUGGUCGAGUCGGCCUGCGCGGAAGAUGUAACGGGGCUAAACCAUGCACCGAAGCUGCGGCAGCGA